UCUCUGUUUCGUGGUGAUUUGUCCGACCGGAUUGCGGCCACGGUAAAUAAGCAGCUAAAGAGGUUUGCGCGCUCUCUUA
rnacentral:ncRNA from 1 species